CGAGGUUCUAAUAUCAUUCCUGGUACUUCAUAGCACAAAAACACCAUCUCAUCCAAUGGCAUAAAUCAAUUGACAACUCUAGAUACUCCCAUCUCAAGUAAACCCCCUCUUGACCCCACUCCUGGACAAGCUCACUGAGGGGAGUGAGCCUCUAUGUCAUACACUAUCCCAAGAUAAGUGCAACAUCAGAGAGGACAUACAAUGGUCCAAACACUGCCAUACACCUUCCCCCAAUGCCAAAGGAGGGAGUGACUUGCGCACAGACAUUGUGAAGACAAGUUAUUGGUUCCCCAUUAAUCAUGCCAUCCCUUCACAUGGAUUAACAGAUACAUUCACAUAUGAAGACAAUGUUCCAUCCUGUCCUCUUCCCUUUCUGAUAUUCUGCAUAGCACCAGGGACAUGUGAAAGACAAGCCUGACCUCUCCCCUCUCUGGGCCCUAAGUGACUGAGCCCCAGCUGAGGGAAGAAGUCAGGCUUCCAACACCAGAGUCCAAAGGGAUACAUUGUGAUUAAUUCGCCACAUUGUCCUCUCCCCUCAUCUUCUCUCAUCCUGUCCUCUCCUCUCAUCCUGUCCACUCCCCUCAUCCUGUCCUCUACCCUCAUCUCCUCUCAUCCUGUCCUGUCCCCUCAUCCUGUCGUCUCCCCUCAUCUCCUCUCAUCCUGUCGUCUCCCCUCAUCUUCUCUCAUCCUGUCGUCUCCCCUCAUCUCCCCUCAUCCUGUCCUCUCCGCUCAUCUCCUCACAUCCUGUCCUCUCUCCUCAUCUCCUCUCAUCCUGUCGUCUCCCCUCAUCUUCUCUCAUCCUGUCGUCUCCCCUCAUCUCCCCUCAUCCUGUCCUCUCCGCUCAUCUUCUCUCAUCCUGUCCUCUCCCCUCAUCUUCUCUCAUCCUGUCCUCUCCCCUCAUCUUCUCUCAUCCUGUCGUCUCCACUCAUCUUCUCUCAUCCUGUCCUCUCCCCUCAUCUCCUCUCAUCCUGUCCUCUCCCCUCAUCUUCUCUCAUCCUGUCCUCUCCCCUCAUCUUCUCUCAUCCUGUCCUCUCCUCUCAUCCUGUCCUCUCCCCUCAUCCUGUCCCCUCUCCUCAUCUUCUCUCAUCCUGUCCUCUCCUCUCAUCCUGUCCUCUGCCCUCAUCUUCUCUCAUCCUGUCCUCUCCCCUCAUCUUCUCUCAUCCUGUCCUCUCCCCUCAUCUUCUCUCAUCCUGUCCUCUCCCCUCAUCCUGUCCCCUCCCCUCAUCUUCUCUCAUCCUGUCCUCUCCCCUCAUCUUCUCUCAUCCUGUCCUCUCCCCUCCACUCCUCUCAUCCUGUACCCUCCCCUCAUCUUCUCUCAUCCUGUCCUCUCCUCUCAUCCUGUCCUCUCCCCUCAUCUUCUCUCAUCCUGUCCUCUCCCCUCCACUCCUCUCAUCCUGUCCUCUCCCCUCAUCUUCUCUCAUCCUGUCCUCUCCCCUCCACUCCUCUCAUAUCUGUCCUCUCCCCUCCACUCCUCUCAUCCUGUCCUCUCCCUUCGUCCUUC
rnacentral:lncRNA from 8 species